rnacentral:rRNA from 1 species
UGGGGGAUAUUGCACAAUGGGCGAAAGCCUGAUGCAGCGACGCCGCGUGGGGGAUGAAGGCUUUCGGGUUGUAAACCUCUUUCGCUAUCGAACAAGGCCCGCUUAGGGUGGGUUGAGGGUAGGUGGAGAAGAAGCGCCGGCUAACUACGUGCCAGCAGCCGCGGUAAUACGUAGGGCGCGGGCGUUGUCCGGAAUUAUCGGGCGUAAAGGGCUUGUAGGCGGCUUGUUGCGCCUGCUGUGAAAACGCGGGGCUUAACUUCGCGCGUGCAGUGGGUACGGGCAGGCUUGAGUGUGGUAGGGGUGACUGGAAUUCCAGGUGUAGCGGUGGAAUGCGCAGAUAUCUGGAGGAACACCGAUGGCGAAGGCAGGUCACUGGGCCAUUACUGACGCUGAGGAGCGAAAGCAUGGGUAGCGAACAGG